rnacentral:rRNA from 2 species
UUAGGAUCGUAAAACUCUGUUGUUAGGGAAGAACAAAUUUGUUAGUAACUGAACAAGUCUUGACGGUACCUAACCAGAAAGCCACGGCUAACUACGUGCCAGCAGCCGCGGUAAUACGUAGGUGGCAAGCGUUAUCCGGAAUUAUUGGGCGUAAAGCGCGCGUAGGCGGUUUCUUAAGUCUGAUGUGAAAGCCCACGGCUCAACCGUGGAGGGUCAUUGGAAACUGGGGAACUUGAGUGCAGAAGAGGAGAGUGGAAUUCCAUGUGUAGCGGUGAAAUGCGCAGAGAUAUGGAGGAACACCAGUGGCGAAGGCGGCUCUCUGGUCUGUAACUGACGCUGAUGUGCGAAAGCGUGGGGAUCAAACAGGAUUAGAUACCCUGGUAGUCCACGCCGUAAACGAUGAGUGCUAAGUGUUAGGGGGUUUCCGCCCCUUAGUGCUGCAGCUAACGCAUUAAGCACUCCGCCU